rnacentral:rRNA from 1 species
CUGCUGCCUCCCGUAGGAGUCUGGGCCGUGUCUCAGUCCCAAUGUGGCCGUCCACCCUCUCAGGCCGGCUACUGAUCGUCGCCUUGGUAGGCCGUUACCCUGCCAACCAGCUAAUCAGACGCGGGCCCAUCUCGCACCACCUGGGUUUUCAGGGCAGGGGCAUGCGCCCCCGCCCGCUAUGCGGUGUUAGCACCUAUUUCUAAGUGUUAUCCCCCAGUGCGAGGCAGGUUGCCCACGCGUUACUCACCCGUCGCCACG